rnacentral:tRNA from 1 species
CGGGGAGUGGCGCAGUUUGGCAGCGCGCAUGGUUUGGGACCAUGAAGUCGCAGGUUCAAAUCCUGUCUCCCCGACCA